UUGGAUCCCAACCAGGAUAUGACAUUGCAUUUACUCAUCACGCCUCCUUAGGUUCCUCUUGGCUGUGACGGUUUCUCAGACUAUCCUUGUUUUUUAGGACCUUGACAGUUUUGAGGCAUACUGGUCUGGGCCAGGAACUGCUGUGAGUAUGAGACACCUGCCUUCUCGAUUGUAAGCAACAGAAAUCCACCAUGAGCAAUAUGAGUAGAUAUAGAAUUCACUGAAAGGAAAUUGGAGACUUUCAGAGACUGAAAGACCUGAGCUGGUGUGUGGUCCAAGAAGCAGGAAGAAGAACCACAGCCAUCUCUU
rnacentral:lncRNA from 10 species